rnacentral:lncRNA from 1 species
UGGCAUUUCUGUAAAUAAGUUGGUAACCUAGACGUCGAUUUCGAGGGAAGGUGACGUCUAUGAUAUUGUAGACGUCUGCUCUGCCAUACACUGACUUCUAAUGGCCCAAGGUAGACGAGAAGACAGUCUAUUGACGUCGAUUUUAAUAGGGGCCGAUGUCUACGGGGCUGCAAUUAAUGCUCCUCACCUGAUUCCCAGGCGCUUAGACAUCAUGUAGUUAAAAAGCGACGUCCUGUUCGGAAGGCGGGAAGACAAAAAUUUCUACAAUUUAGACGUCGGUGUUUAAGGGGAGAGACGUCUAUGUGCCUGUAAUUAAUUAUGUUCACCAAACUCGAAAGUCCGGCAGAAGGGCACCGACAUCUACAUUAUUGUAGACGUCGACGCCCCUUCACAACUGUCGUCAACAUCCCUG